ensembl:lncRNA
UUACCUGAAAGAAACACACCUCCCUCCUGUCCUCUUGCAACGAUUACACAACUGAGCGAUCUCAAAGCUCCGACCCUGCAAUUUGUAACGAUGAUAAAAUGAUGCAGCAAAAGAAGCAAAACCUCAUCUAAUUUCUGGCUUGAUGCGUGCAACCAUCUCCUCUGACACAGAAAUCCGUGCAGUGCUGAACAAACACACCGCCUUCCUGAGCAGCUUUAAACCUCUUGUUUCCUGGUGUGCUUUCACUCAGGUCUGAUACAACAGGCUGCUGUUUAAAACAACAGACCACUGCGUAGCGAAAACAGACCUAACACCCUGACCUACCUCCUAUUUCGAUCAGCAAAAAUCAGCUGCAUUCAGCCCUCACUGCUAAGAAACGCUUUAAAACUGAAGAAAUCCGAACAGCCUCCCGUGCCUUAUUGGACAGGCGACUCUGCUGCUUUGUUUUGUGCAAAUUAUUUCUCUGGGUUGGGCUGGAUAUGCACAUGGAUUGUUUGAUUACCGGUCCGGGGUGAAGAAAGGUGCUGUCAUGCUGAGCUGGGGUUUGCGUGGCGAGGUCAGGAGGGCUCCACGAGAGCCACGUUGGGAUUUUCCUAGAGCCACGAGAGCUGAGCAGACCUUAUCCUUCUCAUCUGCAGAAGCUGCAGCACUCACCUGCAUGCUGAGGUGGAGCAAGCAGAUGGGGAGACCAUUACGUUCACAGCCUGCCCCGUACGAGCACACCUCACAGCAGCUUUUGCCAACGAGAGAGUUAAAUAAAAUGCUUCUUAAGUCAUCAGCACCGCCAUGUGAAAAGAACUAAAAAUAAAAGAUCUAGGGAAAAGGAAGGCAGAGCACAACCACAAGUGAUGCCGGCAUGCCAGAACAGGCUGCUCUGGACAUUAGCUUCAAUUGUGAGCUCAAUAAAACAGCAGGACUGAAGCGAUCAGUCGUAACGCAUCUCUGGUUUUUUUUUAGCUCUCAAAUGAUUUACCACUUCCACAUCAUCCUCAUUGAUUGAGGCACAAAGCAGGCUCUAGGAAAUUCGCUAGCCAGGAAAAAUAGCAGACAUGUAGACCAAGGUCAGUCUGCUCAUAGGCCAGGUGAAGAGAUGUAGCUUGUUUUCAU